AAAGCCACAAACAACAACGAACACAUUUUCCUAGCAAAUACUGUACAUUUUCCAGGUUUUGCUGCAGGAUCAGUGUCUGUGUGGCAGCGGGAGCAGCCGAGGCAGAGCGGGAUGGCGGAGCUGCGGGGCUGGGCACGAUCCACUGUGUUCCACAGGGCCCCAGCCCCCACUGCAUCCCGCAGGGCCCCCACGGCCGCUGCGAUGCCCGUCAGGGUGGCCCAGAGGGGCCAGCACCAAGAGCCAAACACCAGUGAGGCAUCGCACAUUGGAAGUGUGCAGGUUGCCAAACUGUACAACCCACUUGGAGAAAAUCAGCUCCAUCUCAGACCCCCACCAUCACCAGCCAGGUGACAUCUCCAGGGCCUUCUGGGAGAGAUGUUCCAGCAAGAUCUGCUCAGGUAUUUGGUGCAUUUUUAACAUUCCCUACUGUGUAUUAAGGUUUAGCUCUCUGCUGAUAU
rnacentral:lncRNA from 12 species